GUGGAAGUUUGAUCAUCCGCCAUUUUCAACUGACGCUUGCAUAUGCUUAGUAUCCUGGAUAGAAUCCAUCGCCAUCUGAGGAUUAUUUGUUUCCAUUGGUUAUCAUCGCUACCGAAGACAGGAAAUCAUCAAAGACAUGCCAUUCAUUGCAGAGGUCAAAUACAGACGGCCUGCCCUGUUUUCAGAGACUGAGGUUGUUGCAGAGUUCACUCGCAUCAGCAUGGUCCCUUUGUUGUCGACUUUCAUGGCCAAGCUGGACCACUACGCUUGACCACCUUCUUGGAGUGUUCAAAAAGAA